UACGAAGGGGGCUAGCGUUGUUCGGAAUCACUGGGCGUAAAGGGCGCGUAGGCGGCCGUUCAAGUCGGGGGUGAAAGCCUGUGGCUCAACCACAGAAUUGCCUUCGAUACUGGACGGCUCGAGACCGGAAGAGGUCAGUGGAACUGCGAGUGUAGAGGUGAAAUUCGUAGAUAUUCGCAAGAACACCAGUGGCGAAGGCGGCUGACUGGUCCGGUUCUGACGCUGAGGCACGAAAGCGUGGGGAGCAAACAGG
rnacentral:rRNA from 1 species